rnacentral:lncRNA from 1 species
GUGGGAUUGCACAGGUCGACCGAACGAUGGGAGGAGCAGGGUCUCCUUUGAAGGGUGCCUCUUAACUAACCUAAUAUAUUAGGCUUGCUUGGCUUUCUCUUAGCUUCCCCUCACUUGUCCCACAUAUGAAGAGCAAGAGGAAUCGGGUUCCAGUGAGCAAUGAAUCUACUCGUGCCUACUUACUCUAGCAGUAGUUCAAGCUUGCCCUCUAGUACCCUUACUGCUACUGC